GAUGAACGCUAGCUACAGGCUUAACACAUGCAAGUCGAGGGGAAACGACAUCGAAAGCUUGCUUUUGAUGGGCGUCGACCGGCGCACGGGUGAGUAACGCGUAUCCAACCUGCCCACCACUUGGGGAUAACCUUGCGAAAGUAAGACUAAUACCCAAUGACGUCUCUAGAAGACAUCUGAAAGAGAUUAAAGAUUUAUCGGUGAUGGAUGGGGAUGCGUCUGAUUAGCUUGUUGGCGGGGUAACGGCCCACCAAGGCGACGAUCAGUAGGGGUUCUGAGAGGAAGGUCCCCCACAUUGGAACUGAGACACGGUCCAAACUCCUACGGGAGGCAGCAGUGAGGAAUAUUGGUCAAUGGACGAGAGUCUGAACCAGCCAAGUAGCGUGCAGGAUGACGGCCCUAUGGGUUGUAAACUGCUUUUAUAAGGGAAUAAAGUGAGAGUCGUGACUCUUUUUGCAUGUACCUUAUGAAUAAGGACCGGCUAAUUCCGUGCCAGCAG
rnacentral:rRNA from 1 species